rnacentral:misc_RNA from 1 species
GAAUUACUUGAAGUUCCUAAAACUCGUGUUAUAUGCUCUGUCCUGCAACUUGUAAAUCAGAUUGUUAAAGAUAAUACCGAUUUCUUGGAAAAUGCUUGUCUUGUUGGCUUGAUACCAGUAGUCAUGAGCUUUGCCGGACCUGAUCGUCCCCGGGAAGUUCGGAUGCAGGCAGCCUAUUUCUUGCAGCAGCUUUGUCAAUCAAGCCACUUGACGUUGCAAAUGUUUAUUGUGUGCCGUGGAAUACCUGUUUUGGUGGGCUUUCUAGAGGCUGAUUAUGCAAAAUACAGGGAAAUGGUUCAUCUGGCUAUUGAUGGCAUGUGGCAGGUCUUUAAGCUUCAGAGAUCUACCCCAAGAAAUGAUUUCUGUCGCAUAGCUGCAAAAAAUGGAAUAUUGUUGAGGCUUAUCAAUACACUUUAUAGUUUGAAUGAGGCAACUAGGCUAGCUUCUAUAUCAGUUGGAACUGGAUUUCCACUUGAUGGUUCAGUUCAACGACCACGUUCUGGUCCAUUGGAUCUGAAUCAUCCUAUUUUUAUUCAGAGUGAGGCAUCGCUUUCAGCAUCUGAACAGCCGGAAGUCCUUAAGGCUAGGCAUGGAGUGAUGGAGCAUCCCAUGUCAACUGGCACACAAGAACCUUCUCGUGCCUCUACUUCACAUUCGCAAAGGAUGGAUGUCAUUCAACCUGAUUCUAGAUGCAUUUUGCCAGAUACUGACAGACCUCAGUCUAGCAAUGCAGCACUGGAAACUUCAGCUGCUUUAGAAAAAGCUGGAAAUAUAGCUGCCAAAGAGUCUUCAGCAACUGCUUCCAAAGAGCGAGACAACCUAGAACGAUGGAAAGUUGAUUCAUCUCGAGCAGAAAUUGAUGUUCGACAGCAGCGAGUUGCUGGUUCCACUAAUAGGAUAUCUACUGAUAGGCCACCAAAAUUGAUUGAAAGUGCAUCUAAUGGUCUUCCUACUAUGAUGUCCACUCAGCCAGAGCAAGUUCGACCUCUUCUAAGCUUGUUGGAAAAAGAACCACCUUCCAAGCAUUUUUCUGGUCAGUUGGAGUAUGUUCGCCACAUCUCAGGGCUGGAGAGACAUGAAAGUAUUUUGCCUCUAUUACAUGCAUCUGUUGAAAAGAAAACCAAUGGUGAAUUAGAUUUUUUGAUGGCAGAAUUUGCAGAGGUAACAGGGCGUGGAAGAGAAAACGGAAAUCUAGACUCUACACCUAGAUCUUCACAUAAGACAGUAAACAAAAAACCGGGAACGCAGGCAUCUAACGAUGGAGCUGCUUCCACAUCUGGUAUUGCAUCUCAAACAACAUCAGGUGUACUGUCUGGUUCAGGUAUUCUGAAUGCUAGACCGGGGAGCGCAACAUCGUCUGGAUUACUUUCCCACAUGGUAUCAACAAUGAAUGCUGAUGUUGCUAGGGAUUACCUGGAAAAGGUGGCAGACCUUCUGCUUGAGUUUUCUCAAGCAGAUACAACUGUAAAAUCCUAUAUGUGUAGCCAAAGCUUGCUUAACCGUCUCUUUCAGAUGUUCAAUAGAAUUGAGCCACCUAUUCUUUUGAAGACACUCAACUGUAUAAAUAAUCUGUCAACUGACCCCAAUUGCUUAGAGAAUCUUCAGCGGGCAGAUGCAAUUAAGUUCUUGAUCCCAAAUCUUGAACUCAAAGACGGGCCUCUUGUAGGGCAAAUCCAUAAUGAGGUUCUCAAUGCACUAUUUAAUCUGUGCAAGAUAAAUAAGAGGAGACAGGAACAAGCUGCUGAAAAUGGAAUAAUUCCACAUUUGAUGAAUAUUAUUAUGACAGAUUCUCCCUUGAAGCAGUAUGCUUUACCUCUAUUGUGUGACAUGGCGCAUGCAUCUCGUAAUUCAAGAGAGCAACUAAGGGCCCAUGGUGGAUUGGAUGUGUACUUAAGCCUGCUUGAUGAUGUGUAUUGGUCAGUAACAGCAUUGGAUUCAAUUGCUGUUUGCUUGGCUCAUGAUAAUGACAACCGCAAAGUAGAACAAGCAUUGCUGAAAAAGGAUGCAGUUCAGAAAUUAGUGAAGUUCUUCCAGAGCUGUCCAGAGCAACAAUUUGUGCAUAUUUUGGAGCCAUUUUUGAAAAUUAUCACGAAAUCAUCCCGGAUAAAUACUACGUUAGCUGUUAAUGGUUUGACACCUUUGCUCAUUGCAAGGCUGGACCAUCAGGAUGCAAUAGCUCGUCUAAAUUUGCUUAAACUAAUAAAGGCUGUCUACGAGCAUCAUCCUCGGCCAAAGCAAUUGAUUGUGGAGAAUGAUUUGCCACAAAAACUUAAAAAUUUGAUUGAGGAACGCCGCGAUGGGCAAAGCUCAGGAGGCCAAGUGUUGGUGAAACAAAUGGCUACUUCUCUGCUUAAAGCACUUCACAUUAACACUGUUCUGUAAAUUCAUGUCACUCCAAUUUGUAUAUCAUGUUCUUUAGCAAGAAUUACUUUAGAUGCAUUAGUGCUUUUGUUUUUUCUUAAAAUUUGGUUUGCUUGUUCAUAUCUUCAAUCUUGUGGAUGCAACAAGAUCGGUGUGCCGUAUUUAUUGGAUAUGUUCCGAAGGCUCAAAGUUACAUGGGUGGUUGUCUUUUUUUCGCUUGGGUGGGCUGCUAUUGCUGCUUUUUUCUUUGUGGUUUAUGCUUUCCCCAC